rnacentral:rRNA from 1 species
CUACGGGAGGCAGCAGUGGGGAAUCUUGCGCAAUGGGCGAAAGCCUGACGCAGCAACGCCGCGUGCGGGAUGAAGGCCUUCGGGUUGUAAACCGCUUUCAGCAGGGACGAAAUUGACGGUACCUGCAGAAGAAGCCCCGGCCAACUACGUGCCAGCAGCCGCGGUAAUACGUAGGGGGCGAGCGUUGUCCGGAAUUAUUGGGCGUAAAGAGCUCGUAGGCGGUUGGGUAAGUCGGGUGUGAAAACUCAGGGCUCAACUCUGAGACGCCAUUCGAUACUGCUCUGACUCGAGUCCGGUAGGGGAGCGUGGAAUUCCCGGUGUAGCGGUGAAAUGCGCAGAUAUCGGGAGGAACACCAGUGGCGAAGGCGGCGCUCUGGGCCGGAACUGACGCUGAGGAGCGAAAGCGUGGGUAGCAAACAGGAUUAGAUACCCUGGUAGU